rnacentral:rRNA from 1 species
GAAAGCGCGAAACGUAAUGUGAAUUGCAGAAUUCAGUGAAUCAUCGAAUCUUUGAACGCAUCUUGCGCCCCUUGGCAUUCCGAGGGGCAUGCCUGUUUGAGUGUCGUGAAGUACCUCGGACCCGUGUCUUUUUUUCUAAGGACGCGCGGUUUCGGAUUUGGACGCUUGCCGCGAAUCUCGCGGCUCGUCUCUAAACGCAUUAGCGAAACGCGCCAUCGGUCUAGCUCUCAGACGUGAUAAAACAAGCGUCGACGGAGCGCGACCGUGCGUCGCUCACGAACCGUCCGCGAGGACAAUCCACACCCAAAUCUGACCUCAAAUCAGGCAGGACUACCCGCUGAACUUAA